GGGUUGUGAGGUUAAGCGACUAAGCGUACACGGUGGAUGCCCUGGCAGUCAGAGGCGAUGAAGGGCGUGCUAAUCUGCGAUAAGCGCCGGUAAGGUGAUAUGAACCGUUAUAACCGGCGAUACCCGAAUGGGGAAACCCAGUGUGAUUCGUCACACUAUCAUUAACUGAAUCCAUAGGUUAAUGAGGCGAACCGGGGGAACUGAAACAUCUAAGUACCCCGAGGAAAAGAAAUCAACCGAGAUUCCCCCAGUAGCGGCGAGCGAACGGGGAGGAGCCCAGAGCCUGAAUCAGCAUGUGUGUUAGUGGAAGCGUCUGGAAAGGCGCGCGAUACAGGGUGACAGCCCCGUACACAAAAGCGCAUAUGCUGUGAGCUCGAUGAGUAGGGCGGGACACGUGGUAUCCUGUCUGAAUAUGGGGGGACCAUCCUCCAAGGCUAAAUACUCCUGACUGACCGAUAGUGAACCAGUACCGUGAGGGAAAGGCGAAAAGAACCCCGGCGAGGGGAGUGAAAAAGAACCUGAAACCGUGUACGUACAAGCAGUGGGAGCACCCUUUGGGGUGUGACUGCGUACCUUUUGUAUAAUGGGUCAGCGACUUAUAUUCUGUAGCAAGGUUAACCGAAUAGGGGAGCCGGAGGGAAACCGAGUCUUAAUUGGGCGUUAAGUUGCAGGGUAUAGACCCGAAACCCGGUGAUCUAGCCAUGGGCAGGUUGAAGGUUGGGUAACACUAACUGGAGGACCGAACCGACUAAUGUUGAAAAAUUAGCGGAUGACCUGUGGCUGGGGGUGAAAGGCCAAUCAAACCGGGAGAUAGCUGGUUCUCCCCGAAAGCUAUUUAGGUAGCGCCUCGUGAAUUCAUCUCCGGGGGUAGAGCACUGUUUCGGCUAGGGGGCCAUCCCGGCUUACCAACCCGAUGCAAACUGCGAAUACCGGAGAAUGUUAUCACGGGAGACACACGGCGGGUGCUAACGUCCGUCGUGAAGAGGGAAACAACCCAGACCGCCAGCUAAGGUCCCAAAGUCAUGGUUAAGUGGGAAACGAUGUGGGAAGGCCCAGACAGCCAGGAUGUUGGCUUAGAAGCAGCCAUCAUUUAAAGAAAGCGUAAUAGCUCACUGGUCGAGUCGGCCUGCGCGGAAGAUGUAACGGGGCUAAACCAUGCACCGAAGCUGCGGCAGCGACACUGUGUGUUGUUGGGUAGGGGAGCGUUCUGUAAGCCUGCGAAGGUGGCCUGUGAGGGUUGCUGGAGGUAUCAGAAGUGCGAAUGCUGACAUAAGUAACGAUAAAGCGGGUGAAAAGCCCGCUCGCCGGAAGACCAAGGGUUCCUGUCCAACGUUAAUCGGGGCAGGGUGAGUCGACCCCUAAGGCGAGGCCGA
rnacentral:rRNA from 1 species